rnacentral:rRNA from 1 species
GACAGAGGAUGCAAGCGUUAUCCGGAAUGAUUGGGCGUAAAGCGUCUGUAGGUGGCUUUUUAAGUCUGCCGUCAAAUCCCAGGGCUUAACCCUGGACAGGCGGUGGAAACUACCAAGCUGGAGUACGGUAGGGGCAGAGGGAAUCCCUAGCGUAACAGUGAAAUGUGUAGAUUUUAGGGAGAACACCAGCGGCGAAGGCGCUCUACUGGGCCAAUACUGACACUCAGAGACGAAAGCUAAGGGAGCGAAUAGG